AAGCGUUUAUGACCAGACUUGAGCCCGGUGAAUCAUCCAGCGUUCUCGCUGGUGCACUUUGCCGGGCCCAGGCCAGCAUCAGUUCGCUGCGGGGGACAAAGGCUUCGGGAACGUGGCUCCCUCGGGAGUGUUAUAGCCCGUUGCGUAAUACCCUGUGGCGGACUGAGGUACGCGCUCCGCAAGGAUGCUGGCGUAAUGGUCAUCAGCGA
rnacentral:rRNA from 1 species